GAGUUUGAUCCUGGCUCAGAACGAACGCUGGCGGCGUGCUUAACACAUGCAAGUCGAACGUGAUUGGAAGCUKGCUUCCAYGAAAGUGGCGCACGGGUGAGUAACGCGUGGAUAACCUGCCCUGGUAUCCGGAAUAACAUCUCGAAAGGGGUGCUAAUACCGGAUAAGCCUACGGAGCCUUCGGUCUCUGCAGGAAAAGGKGGCCUCUAUUUAUAAGCUACCGUAUCAGGAUGGGUCCGCGUACCAUUAGCUAGUUGGUGGGGUAAUGGCCUWCCAAGGCGACGAUGGUUAGCUGGUCUGAGAGGAUGAUCARCCACACUGGAAMUGAGACRCGGUCCAGACUCCUACGGGAGGCAGCAGUGGGGAAUUUUGCGCAAUGGGGGAAACCCUGAYGCAGCAACGCCGCGUGAGUGAYGAAGGCUUUCGGGUCGUAAAGCUCUGUCAGAGGGGAAGAAAUGGGUMUGGMUAAUAUCCAGAUUCCUUGACGGUACCCUCAAAGGAAGCACCGGCUAACUCCGUGCCAGCAGCCGCGGUAAUA
rnacentral:rRNA from 1 species